GAUUAUGGCUCAGGACGAACGCUGGCGGCGUGCCUAAUACAUGCAAGUCGAGCGCUUGCACAAGAAAGCUUGCUUCUUGUUGCUUGAGCGGCGGACGGGUGAGUAACACGUGGGCAACCUGCCUAUAAGACUGGGAUAACUUCGGGAAACCGGAGCUAAUACCGGAUAAUGCUUUUGAACACAUGUUUGAAAGCGGAAAGAUGGUUUCGGCUAUCACUUAUAGAUGGGCCCGCGGCGCAUUAGCUAGUUGGUGAGGUAACGGCUCACCAAGGCGACGAUGCGUAGCCGACCUGAGAGGGUGAUCGGCCACACUGGGACUGAGACACGGCCCAGACUCCUACGGGAGGCAGCAGUAGGGAAUCUUCCGCAAUGGACGAAAGUCUGACGGAGCAAACCGCCGCGUGAGUGAUGAAGGUUUUCGGAUCGUAAAACUCUGUUGUUAGGGAAGAACAAGUACCGGAGUAACUGCCGGUACCUUGACGGUACCUAACCAGAAAGCCACGGCUAACUACGUGCCAGCCGCAGC
rnacentral:rRNA from 1 species